CGUGCGGCGGGCCUACACAUGCAAGUCGAACGGUAACAGGAAGCAGCUUGCUGCUUCGCUGACGAGUGGCGGACGGGUGAGUAAUGUCUGGGAAACUGCCCGAUGGAGGGGGAUAACUACUGGAAACGGUAGCUAAUACCGCAUAACGUCGCAAGACCAAAGAGGGGGACCUUCGGGCCUCUUGCCAUCGGAUGUGCCCAGAUGGGAUUAGCUAGUAGGUGGGGUAACGGCUCACCUAGGCGACGAUCCCUAGCUGGUCUGAGAGGAUGACCAGCCACACUGGAACUGAGACACGGUCCAGACUCCUACGGGAGGCAGCAGUGGGGAAUAUUGCACAAUGGGCGCAAGCCUGAUGCAGCCAUGCCGCGUGUGUGAAGAAGGCCUUCGGGUUGUAAAGUACUUUCAGCGGGGAGGAAGGUGAUAAGGUUAAUACCUUUAUCGAUUGACGUUACCCGCAGAAGAAGCACCGGCUAACUCCGUGCCAGCAGCCGCGGUAAUACGGAGGGUGCAAGCGUUAAUCGGAAUUACUGGGCGUAAAGCGCACGCAGGCGGUCUGUCAAGUCGGAUGUGAAAUCCCCGGGCUCAACCUGGGAACUGCAUUCGAAACUGACAGGCUUGAGUCUUGUAGAGGGGGGUGGAAUUCCAGGUGUAGCGGUGAAAUGCGUAGAGAUCUGGAGGAAUACCGGUGGCGAAGGCGGCCCCCUGGACGAAGACUGACGCUCAGGUGCGAAAGCGUGGGGAGCAAACAGGUUUCUCUUUUUUUUUUUAAAAAAAAAAAA
rnacentral:rRNA from 1 species